ensembl:lncRNA
AUGGAACAACAAGAACAAACAUUAAUAACAUCAACAAUCAACAAAAGAACUUUCGACAGACCCCAAGGACUACAAGUCUGCUUGCUUACAGACUCAAUGUGCCGAGGUAUUGAGGACUACCUACCAGCUGCAAAAUGCUGGGUACACCCAGGCACUACUCUUGAGAGAUCUACUAAACAACACAUAUACCACUUUGAGACAAUACGCAGCAAUGCAUUGGUACUACUCCACAUCGGAACAAAUGACAUUGCAAGUGGAGCACCCCCAUCACUGAUCAUCCAACGAAUGAAAGCACUAAUAACUUCAAUCUCUCAAGCAAGUCCUCACAUUCUGUAUUUUGCAAUUAGUGCUGUCUUGCCACGACUUACAGAUGACUCAACAAAAAAAACAACAGUGAAACAAUACAACACCAUGCUACAUCGCUGGACUACUCACACAGACAACAUUAUCUUUCUGAAGACAACAAAACCUUUCCUCAAACAUGGAAAAAUAGUCCACCACCUAUACAAACAAGAUGGCCUCCACCUGAAUCAACAAGGAAAACACAAACUUUUUACGUACUUUCAGCAAUUCCUUUGGCAUUUUUGCCACUUUCAAGCACAAACAAAACAAGUUUAGUAACCCAUUAAAUUGUUUAAGUCAUACUUGUUCUCAUUAAUGACCUUUACAUGUUGUCUCUUUCUGAAAUAAUAAAAUGCCAUUCACUUUAUUUGCA